GUCUUAUUAGUUUAAUUCUAAAACUUUGGUUUGUGACGCCAACAAUAUUUAAAAAAUAUAAGGCC
rnacentral:tRNA from 1 species